AUUGAACGCUGGCGGCAUGCCUUACACAUGCAAGUCGAACGGUAACAGGUUAAGCUGACGAGUGGCGAACGGGUGAGUAAUGUAUCGGAACGUGCCCAGUCGUGGGGGAUAACUACUCGAAAGAGUGGCUAAUACCGCAUACGACCUGAGGGUGAAAGCGGGGGACCGUAAGGCCUCGCGCGAUUGGAGCGGCCGAUAUCAGAUUAGCUAGUUGGUGGGGUAAAAGCCCACCAAGGCGACGAUCUGUAGCUGGUCUGAAAGGACGACCAGCCAAAAUGGGACUGAGACACGGCCCAGACUACUACGGAAGGGAGCAGUGGGGAAUUUUGAACAAUGGACGCAAGUCUGAUCCAGCCAAGCCGCGUGCGGGAAGAAGGCCUUCGGGUUGUAAACCGCUUUUGUCAGGGAAGAAACGAGUUUCUCUAAUACAGAGACUUAAUGACGGUACCUGAAGAAUAAGCACCGGCUAACUACGUGCCAGCCGCCGCAGUAACAC
rnacentral:rRNA from 1 species